ACAGCAUCUAUUAUAUGGCGCAUGUUAUAUCAUAUAAUAUCUGAUAUGAAGUUUUGGACUAGUCUCAACAUGUAUAAAAACAUACAGCAUAAUCAGACAAACGCGACAGAUACUGAGAAUUUAUCUACUAUCGUAUCAUUUUGGAACGCUGUGGAAAGUGUUUUAGGUACAACAAGUAAUAUAUGUAACUUUAAUAUAGAAGAUGUAAUCGAUAUUUGGUCAAUGCAAGGACAUUAUCCUGUACUGUACGUGACACAAAAUUAUUUUACUAACUUAGUAUCAAUCACAUAUAUUAAUUCUAAACAUAUACAAUUUCCUAAUAUGAAACAAUAUAAAUUAUACGUGGUAUAUACGAUACGACGAAAUCACUCAUGAACAUCGAGACACAUUACUUUUGGCUAUCUACACUAACACCGUACCAUUAUAUAUCGCACAAGAUUGACAUUAAUGAUUGGAUCAUUCUCAAUUUACAACAAGGUCUUCCUCCGAGACUGAAAGAUUGAGCACCGUAGUGAAAAUGUUCUCUGAAAAAGGCUCACAGUUGGUCGUGAAGCACACACAAUUGUGGAGGAUGUUCCUGGGACAUAUUUUUUACUACAAACAACAAUGUAAAAUCAUACGGAUUACACGGCCAAUUACAUUCGCUUCUAAUAUAUACGAACUCGUGACUCGUGUUUCAAUGUUAUCAUACGGAUUACACGGCCAAUUACAUUCGCUUCUAAUAUAUACGAACUCGUGACUCGUGUUUCAAUGUUAUUUUUAUAGAAAAUAGUACGCAAAUGACUGUUGCGUGGUUUGCUCGCAAGUUUUCAUUACUCAGACUUCAUCAUUCUUUUAAAUUGCUAAAACACGUUCUAAUUUUUUGAUAUAUUUUUGUUUGUCUAAUGUUUAAAGGUAAGUAAAGUGCGAAUAAUUAUUUUUCCAAGUAUUAGUUUACAUUUCAAAAUUACAAGACAGAUACUGAAACUCUUACGCGAUAUGUCAUACAAAUGUCAUAUGCUGGAGAGCAUCUGCGAGAGAAAUCACCGAUGCUCAAAAUCGAGUUCUAUAAUAUAACGUAGUCAUGGUAAAAAGGUAUUAUAAUUCUAAAGGAAAUAUGCAGGGCCAAUAUCAAAUGAUGAAGUGUAAAUGCUAAAACCACAGUCAUACAGCCAUUUGUCAUUUUGUAUUUUUCAUGAAGAUGCUUGAACUUAAAUCACACAAGUUUGUAUUGAUCAUAACUGCAGUCUGAUAAAUCAACGAAUGAUUAAGAAAAUAUUAUAAUAUCGUAAUAUAUCAUAAUUAUAGCGUUAAUCGAUGUAAGUAAGCGAUCAUUCUGUGCAAAUGGUUAACGGAAAACCGAUCUAUAUAAGCUAGCCAAUUUCGAUCAAAGGAAUAGUAACAUAUAUUUAAAAAAUUAUAAAUAACACAAUAAUUAUGAUAAUGCGAGUCACAGCAAAUUACAUUCUUAUCGAUAAUGGUGUUGGUUCUUGCUGAGAAUAAAAAAAAAUGUCCACAAGUUCUCGCGGACAUUGAGCAAGUAUUACUCAGACU